CUGGUGAUGGAAUUUCAUUCUUUUGACUUCUAGAUUGCCUGUGAAGAGCUGCUUCCUCGGAAGAGCACCCUAAGGCUGGGUGGCCACCAUCCUUUGCUUUGGCAGAGCGAGCCAGAAGGCCUAGGCACAACCCACUGUGUUUGCUGACAGCCAGCCUACCCUGGAGUUCCGGAGCAGCCUCCUAGGAAGACUGGGGAGCGGUAGAAAGAUGGCUCUGCUGAGAUGAGCUCUUAAUUAAUGCACUGAGAGCCUGCGAGUCCCACCUCUCAACAGGAAUGAUUGACGUCCAAGGAUACAUAAAUUACACUAAUUGAGCUCUGCCUCUAUAUAAGCUUUCCACAGCCAACUCAUCAGAGAAGCUAGGCUUGUACCACAACCAAUACCCCUGCUUGGCAACUCUAAUGAGCAAACUGCCACAAAAUUGAGAGAGAACACACCUUUUUG